GUGCCAGCAGCCGCGGUAAGACGAACCGUGCGAACGUUGUUCGGAUUCACUGGGCUUAAAGGGCGCGUAGGCGGACGGUCAAGUCGGGGGUGAAAUCUUUCAGCUUAACUGGAAACGUGCCUUCGAUACUGAUCGUCUCGAGGGAGGCAGGGGCAUGCGGAACUUCCGGUGGAGCGGUGAAAUGCGUAGAUAUCGGAAGGAACGCCGGUGGCGAAAGCGGCGUGCUGGACCUCUUCUGACGCUGAGGCGCGAAAGCCAGGGGAGCGAACGGGAUUAGAUACCCUGGUAGUCC
rnacentral:rRNA from 1 species